rnacentral:rRNA from 1 species
GCGACAGGCCUAACACAUGCAAGUCGAGGGGCAGCACAAGGAGCAAUCUGAGGUGGCGACCGGCGCACGGGUGAGUAACACGUAUGCAACCUGCCUGUAAGCGGGGAAUAACCCGUUGAAAGACGGACUAAUACCGCAUAAUACUAAAUUACUGCAUGGUAGUUAUUUAAACAUUUAUGGCUUACAGAUGGGCAUGCGCAUGAUUAGCUAGUUGGAGAGGUAACGGCUCCCCAAGGCAACGAUCAUUAGGGGUCUGAGAGGAAGGUCCCCCACACUGGUACUGAGACACGGACCAGACUCCUACGGGAGGCAGCAGUGAGGAAUAUUGGUCAAUGGACGAGAGUCUGAACCAGCCAAGUCGCGUGCAGGAAGAAUGUUCCCUAUGGAUUGUAAACUGCUUUUGCAGGGGAAUAAAGUGCAUCACGUGUGAUGUUUUGUAUGUACUCUGCGAAUAAGGAUCGGCUAACUCCGUGCCAGCCGCUGC